AGGAAGGUGAUCACAUGGUUCAACAUCUGGGACAAAAUCGUAAUCCUCAAACUUUAUUUUUAGCUAUGCUUGCAAUAACUACUGUACAGACACCAGUCGUCUCAGAGUUAAGUGCUUGGAUACAUUGGGAACAAUGCAGAGGCCCAGAAGUCCGAGUUCUUGCUAAUACUCCUGUGGAAGUGUGAUUGAUUGGAGACCUGUGGGUUUGGCUCUGACAAAAAGAGGUUCUCCUGAAACCAAUUGAUUUCUCAGCAUCGUGCUGCCAUGGUCAGUCUUAUGCUGCAGAACAAAAAGGGGGAGAUGGUGGAGCAGAAGGUGAAUCAAAGACAAGAUAGAGUCCAGCUGUCUUUUGAAAACAAGAGAAUGUCUGGACACUGGUGGAACACCGCCUCCCAGUCAAGGGCAGAACACUGCCUUGGGACAGUAAGAAUGAUAGUGGAUGGGCUUGUGUUUCCUUUCUCAUGGACUAGAGCUCUGGGAAAAGGUUUGGUUAGUAACAGAAAAGACAAACACCCUUGCCAGGCAUGGUGGCGCACUCC